AAGGAAAUGCAACCUUUCAGAGGCUUUUUCUCUGGGACCAAGCCAAGUGUUCUACAAACUGGUCAGCCAUUGCACCAAUGCAGGACUCACUUCAAAGUCUGAAAGGUUCAGUGAAAACCGGAAAAUCAAUUACAGAAAAGAGAUUUAAAGUAAAAUCGGGAGAAAAGAAAAGAAUGUAAAAUGGUGCACUUUGAUUAAAUAUAACAUAAAAGCAGGAGGAAUUAAAAAAAUAAAAAAAAAAAAGCUCACUUGGCA
rnacentral:lncRNA from 12 species